rnacentral:tRNA from 1 species
AAGAUUAUAGUUAAUUAUAACAUUUGAUCUGCAAUCAAAAAGUAUUGAAACACAAUUUUUCUUA